GUUAUAUACAGUAGAGAGGCUAUAUACAGUAGAGAGGCUAUAUACAGUAGAGAGGCUACAUACAGUAGAGAGGUUAUAUACAGUAGAGAGGCUACAUACAGUAGAGAGGUUAUAUACAGUAGAGAGGCUAUAUACAGUACAGAGGCUAUAUACAGUAGAGAGGCUAUAUACAGUAGAGAGGCUAUAUACAGUAGAGAGGCUAUAUACAGUAGAGAGGCUAUAUACAGUAGAGAGGCUAUAUACAGUAGAGAGGCUAUAUACAGUAGAGAGGCUACAUACAGUAGAGAGGCUAUAUACAGUAGAGAGGCUACAUACAGUAGAGAGGCUACAUACAGUAGAGAGGCUACAUACAGUAGAGAGGCUAUAUACAGUAGAGAGGUUAUAUACAGUAGAGAGGUUAUAUACAGUAGAGAGGCUACAUACAGUAGAGAGGCUACAUACAGUAGAGAGGCUAUAUACAGUAGAGAGGCUAUAUACAGUAGAGAGGCUAUAUACAGUAGAGAGGCUGUAUACAGUAGAGAGGCUACAUACAGUAGAGAGGCUAUAUACAGUAGAGAGGCUAUAUACAGUAG
rnacentral:lncRNA from 1 species